ACUUUUGGCAACGGAUCUCUUGGUUCUCCCAUCGAUAAAAAACGCAUCGAUUUGCGAUAAGUAAUGUGAAUUGCAGAAGUGAAUCAUCGAAUCUUUGAACGCAUCUUGCGCUCCCGGCAGAUCUAAUCUGGGGAGCAUGCCCUUUUGAGGGCCGCG
rnacentral:rRNA from 1 species